AAUAAUGGCGCAGACAUUAACAAACAACGCAUGUGGCUAGGCAGACAUCCAGAUGAUUAUCGGGCUCACAAAGGUUUCAAUGUGUAUUUAAUUGCAGACACACAAUGUUCAGUGCGAGGGAAUGGAGCCGGAAGAACUCUUUUUUAACUAGAGUGCAACGUCUUUUCAAUCAAAUUGGAUACAAAUAUGGGAGUGCCCUACGUGAGAUGACUUAUUAGAUUUAAUUUGUAUGUAUUUGACCUCAAGAAGGCAAUAAUUUGAUUGGCUAACGGAAAGUUUUAGGCGCAACUUUGAAAAUGCACCUGGGAUGGCUACGAAAGUCUGGGAUCAAUUGCGGCAUGAAAUACCCGAUAAUUGGCCAAUUGCAUUGGGACACCGCGGCGAUGGACUGUAAUGCAGCGUAAUGUUAAUACUUACAACGUCUGCCCACACGGGUUGCUAUAUACCGAUCGGCUGUGGAUCGGUAGAUCGGGGGAUUGGAGCACAACCCACUUAACGAGGUCGGGCCCAUAGCAGCACGUAGCCAUUACCCAUAUAAUGCGGUGGUGCAGCCAGCCGAACAUUACAACGAAACCUCGAAAACGAGACCAUAGCAAAAUAUCAAGUAUACGGGUCUGCUCGCCCGCUUAUCGGCCUGUUGUUGCGGUAAUUAUAAUGCGCCAUAGUCACGCCAGACACGCUGCAUAAAUAUUUAAAUUAAAUAAUAACAAAUGCUAGAAAUAAAUAAGCCGGGCAACUGUAAAAACAAUACGUAAUGGCAACAAAGGCGCACACGGGCAAAUAUUAAUAUUAACCGGCGUCGAAUUCCAAUUGACUAAU